ACCAACCAAUGGAAAAGCUGUCAUUUUAGGGAGUAAAGAACAAAGGUAACUUACUUUCCAAAUAAUCUUCUAAAUACAGCAUUUUGGUGGGAUUUGUAAAGAUUUAAUUAAUUAAACAACACUCUAGAUAUCAGUUAAACAUGAUUCGACGACCGUUGACGGAAAUUACUUUAAAACUUGACGAUUUACAAGAAUAUGAAACGAUGCGACGAGAUCAGGGCAGCAGUAACUCUUCAACAGCAGAAAUGCAGGAGGACACGACAAAACCUCUUUGUCCGGGCACCAAGACUCAGGAGGAAAUCCAUAAUAGAAUCGGCUACGCGCCGAAGAAGAAAUCUCGGGGUGUCAGCACGGUUUAAAAUAAAUAAAAUAAUGUUUAAUUAA